UGAUUCGUCACACUAUCAUUAACUGAAUCCAUAGGUUAAUGAGGCGAACCGGGGGAACUGAAACAUCUAAGUACCCCGAGGAAAAGAAAUCAACCGAGAUUCCCCCAGUAGCGGCGAGCGAACGGGGAGCAGCCCAGAGCCUGAAUCAGUGUGUGUGUUAGUGGAAGCGUCUGGAAAGGCGCGCGAUACAGGGUGACAGCCCCGUACACAAAAAUGCACAUACUGUGAGCUCGAUGAGUAGGGCGGGACACGUGGUAUCCUGUCUGAAUAUGGGGGGACCAUCCUCCAAGGCUAAAUACUCCUGACUGACCGAUAGUGAACCAGUACCGUGAGGGAAAGGCGAAAAGAACCCCGGCGAGGGGAGUGAAAAAGAACCUGAAACCGUGUACGUACAAGCAGUGGGAGCACAGAGCAAUCUGUGUGACUGCGUACCUUUUGUAUAAUGGGUCAGCGACUUAUAUUCUGUAGCAAGGUUAACCGAAUAGGGGAGCCGAAGGGAAACCGAGUCUUAACUGGGCGUUAAGUUGCAGGGUAUAGACCCGAAACCCGGUGAUCUAGCCAUGGGCAGGUUGAAGGUUGGGUAACACUAACUGGAGGACCGAACCGACUAAUGUUGAAAAAUUAGCGGAUGACUUGUGGCUGGGGGUGAAAGGCCAAUCAAACCGGGAGAUAGCUGGUUCUCCCCGAAAGCUAUUUAGGUAGCGCCUCGUGAAUUCAUCUCCGGGGGUAGAGCACUGUUUCGGCAAGGGGGUCAUCCCGACUUACCAACCCGAUGCAAACUGCGAAUACCGGAGAAUGUUAUCACGGGAGACACACGGCGGGUGCUAACGUCCGUCGUGAAGAGGGAAACAACCCAGACCGCCAGCUAAGGUCCCAAAGUCAUGGUUAAGUGGGAAACGAUGUGGGAAGGCCCAGACAGCCAGGAUGUUGGCUUAGAAGCAGCCAUCAUUUAAAGAAAGCGUAAUAGCUCACUGGUCGAGUCGGCCUGCGCGGAAGAUGUAACGGGGCUAAACCAUG
rnacentral:rRNA from 1 species